GGAUCGAUGAUGAUUUCCAAUAUAACAUUCCUUGGAAAGCUGAACAAAAUGAGUGAAAACUCAAUACCGACACUAUCAUCGUGACUGAGGUCC
ensembl:snoRNA SNORD116 Small nucleolar RNA SNORD116